rnacentral:rRNA from 1 species
GACGAACGCUGGCGGCGUGCUUAACACAUGCAAGUCGAACGGGAUCCGGGCUUUCGGGUUUGGUGAGAGUGGCGAACGGGUGAGUAACACGUGAGUAACCUGCCCCCUUCUUUGGGAUGACGUCGGGAAAUCGGCGCUAAUACUGGAUAUUCUUGCUGCAUCGCAUGGUGUGGUUUGGAAAGGGUUUCUGGUGGGGGAUGGGCUCGCGGCCUAUCAGCUUGUUGGUGGGGUGAUGGCCUACCAAGGCUUUGACGGGUAGCCGGCCUGAGAGGGUGUCCGGCCACACUGGGACUGAGACACGGCCCAGACUCCUACGGGAGGCAGCAGUGGGGGAUAUUGCACAGUGGGCGCAAGCCUGAUGCAGCGACGCCGCGUGAGGGAUGACGGCCUUCGGGUUGUAAACCUCUUUCAGUAUGGAACAAGGAUCCUUCUUUUGGGGGGUUUGAGGGUACGUGCAGAAGAAGCGCCGGCUAACUACGUG